rnacentral:rRNA from 1 species
UGGAGCAUGUGGUUUAAUUCGAAGCAACGCGAAGAACCUUACCAGGCCUUGACAUGCAGAGAACUUUCCAGAGAUGGAUUGGUGCCUUCGGGAACUCUGACACAGGUGCUGCAUGGCUGUCGUCAGCUCGUGUCGUGAGAUGUUGGGUUAAGUCCCGCAACGAGCGCAACCCUUGUCGUUAAUUGCCAUCAUUCAGUUGGGCACUUUAACGAGACUGCCGGUGACAAACCGGAGGAAGGUGGGGAUGACGUCAAGUCCUCAUGGCCCUUAUGGGUAGGGCUUCACACGUCAUACAAUGGUCGGUACAGAGGGUUGCCAAGCCGCGAGGUGGAGCCAAUCCCAGAAAGCCGAUCGUAGUCCGGAUCGUAGGCUGCAACUCGCCUGCGUGAAGUCGGAAUCGCUAGUAAUCGCGGAUCAGCAUGUCGCGGUGAAUACGUUCCCGGGUCUU